rnacentral:rRNA from 1 species
AUUGAACGCUGGCGGCAGGCUUAACACAUGCAAGUCGAGCGGGGGAAGGUAGCUUGCUACCGGACCUAGCGGCGGACGGGUGAGUAAUGCUUAGGAAUCUGCCUAUUAGUGGGGGACAACAUCUCGAAAGGGAUGCUAAUACCGCAUACGUCCUACGGGAGAAAGCAGGGGAUCUUCGGACCUUGCGCUAAAAGAUGAGCAUAAGUCGGAUUAGCUAGUUGGUGGGGUAAAGGCCUACCAAGGCGAGGAUCUGUAGCGGGUCUGAGAGGAUGAGCCGCCACACUGGGACUGAGACACGGCCCAGACUCCUACGGGAGGCAGCAGUGGGGAAUAUUGGACAAUGGGGGGAACCCUGAUCCAGCCAUGCCGCGUGUGUGAAGAAGGCCUUAUGGUUGUAAAGCACUUUAAGCGAGGAGGAGGCUACUUUAGUUAAUACCUAGAGAUAGUGGACGUUACUCGCAGAAUAAGCACCGGCUAACUCUGUGCCAGCCGCCGCCGUAA